rnacentral:lncRNA from 1 species
ACCUGACUCUGCUGAAACCGCAGAGAAACUGCAGCCAUUUGCGUGCCAAGAAUGCAGUCCUUGAGAGAAGUCAUGGUUCGUUAUGACAUUGAUGGUAGUGUUGCCACUUGAACCAGAUAUGCCCUGGUCUAUUAUGGUCUUGCUGACAGUGUCACCUCUUGAACCAGCCAUCCCAUGGUCCGCUGUGAUGUUGAUGGUUUCGCUGCUACAGGAAGUAGCUAUGCCCUGGUCCGUUGUGGUCUUGAUGGUUCCGCUGCUACUUGAACUAGCUAUGCCCUGGUCCAUUAUAUUAAAGUUUGAGCAAGUUUGAAAUAUAUAUGUAAAAACAUGUAAAGAUUCUCCCAUAGAACAUUAAUAAUGAUAGAAGGAAAAAACUGUUUUGCACAGGAUCUAUAUUGACCUAUAAUGUAAAAUAGUAAUGAAAUUUACAUAAAAUUUCAUAAAUUUAUACUACAGACUCAUAUAGAUCUGAUAUAGAUAAGGAUUGUCUGUAAAAUUAGUUCAACUUACCUGAAUUGUUGGAUGAGGGGAGGAAUGUACUUUUUCAGCAUGCUUUAGAAAAAAGCCAUUGACAAGAAUAUCAGUGUCUGCAGGUGGACCUUCUAUAUAAAUUACUACCUUUUUAGGGUAAUUAUCUAGAAGGAACUUCCCCUUCAACUGUACCCACUUUUUAUCUGUUACCUCCAUACUAUACAUCCAAAAAGACAAUCAUCAUGAAAUCAAUUAAAAAAUAUAGUAAAAGAAAAUCUAGAUAAUUUAAUUUAGUUGAUGAAAAUGAAAGAAAUGAUAUAACUUAAUAAAACCUAAAACCUCAUAUUCCUAUAUGAUAUAGUUAUAAAAAUCUAUAUAAUCUAAAUAUAUAUAAAAACUAUAAAAUUAACUUUAAAAUAUAUUUUUCUAAACGUGAUAAGUGUCUUUCUAUUAGAUUUUUUUUUGUCUAUUUAUCUAUUUUGUCCAUAUCUUAUUACUUAAUAGAUAGCUUUUUAUAUUUUUUUUGAAAGUACGUGAGUUUUCAUUUUAAUAAUAAUAAUAAUAAAUAUGUAUAUAUUAAAUAAAAUUUAUUAGUAUUAUUAUUAUUAUUAUUCCUGAUUGACAAAUGAAUAACAAGUAAAAUUAAGAUGAAAAAGUAAUUAUUCUCUAUUUUAACAACAAAAAAAUAAUAUUUAUAACUUUCUCUUGUUAAGUUUGUAAUAAAAAAAUCGAUGAUGAUUUUUUUACUGUUAAUCUCUAAAGAAAAUAAUCUUUUAUGAUAUUUGAUUUAAUACAGAAAAUGAAGUUAAUUAUUAGCGUAUUAGUAUUAAUCUUAGUUAUGUUUAGUAUAAUAAAAUGAUAAAUAAAAGAAAUUGAGAGAUUAAAAUUUAACCCAGUCCAGAUAUUGCAGUAUAAGAGGUAGUGUAAUGAAUAUGCACUCAGUAGGUGAAUAUUAAUCUGGUGUAAAUUUUAACUCAAAAAAUCAACCAUAGCUAAAUGAGAUUAACUAUUUAUAGGAAUAAAAAUUUAAAAUUUCAAUUAUAAAAUACCAUAGAUCUCUUGGUUCUAUAAAUUUUAUUUAAAAAUUAUUAAUUAAAUUAAUUUUACUAAAUAAAUUCAUUUAAUAUAAAUUGAUAAUUAAAAAAAAAAAAUUACAUGUCACUUAAUUAAAAGAGACCAGUUAACCGCCAAAAUAGGCAAUUGAGACUAUUUUCUCAAAUCCUCUGUGAAUAGAGAAGUGCCGAUGGAGAAACUAAGAAGAUUAAGUCUAAGCUAUAGAAAGCUAUGUUAAAAUUGCAAGUUAUCCAUUCUACAGAAUCUUCAUCAAGUUUUAAGACUAUAAAAGUCAUUCUUUCUCAAAUCAAAGAGGGUUUUUUAAUCGAUUUAAGAAUAAACUUUUCAAAUUCUUAAAUCUCAUAAAUCAAAGAAAAAAAAUUAAAGUAUUGAAUUUCUUUAUUUCAAAUAAUUUAUUAUUGGAAAUUCAACUCACUUUUUUUAUUAAAUUAAUAUUUAUUCCCUAUUUUUUUAUUUUUUAAUUUCAGUUAUGAAAUUUAUGUGUACACUGUUACCUUCUUUGACCUUAUACUAAAUAUAUUAAUAGUUAUUUCAAUUAAAUAAGGUCUAAAAAUAUUCACACGAUGUGGGUAAGUGUCUAAUUCAUAAAUCCACAUGAAUAAAAGGUUGAAUUAAGAAAAUGCUAUUUGCAGAAAUCGAAGCUGAUAAAAAGAAUAUUAUGUAUGGAAAUUAUUAGAGGGAAAAAGAGCUAACUUGGCAAUGCCUAUGUAUUCUUCUCGGAGAUCUGUCGUUUGGACGCAUAAAGUAACUCGCACAUCAGCACUGCUAACAUUGUUGCCAAAGAUCCGAACCACAGCAAUGGCCUCAUAAGCUACCUUUGCCUGUACUUUUCCAGUUAUCUCCUGCUCUAUUCCGUUCCAGCUCUGGGUACGCUCAGUUGCACAUGCAAAAACUUUUCCAAACAGGGGGACAAUUUUUCCACAAGCCAAUGAUUCAUGUAAGACAAGCUUGCAGCCUCUUCCAGACCAUUUGUUCAGGCCAUCCUCAAAUUUAGGAUUUGCCAUGAUGUUCCCUUCUCCAUAUCCAGUGUCCACAAAUUGAUAAUUACUUGUUUCCUUUUGAUAGCUUGUUACCUUUUGAUAGCUUGUUUCCUUUCCAUAUCAAAAUGAAAAAUUUUUUACAAAUUUAUCAUCACAAAAAAGUACAAAUAAAAUUAAUAAAUAGGUUUAAGAAGAAAAAUUACAUAGAAUUCACUUGGAGGGGAGCUGGUAAUAACGACUGAUUGUACAAGCAAGUCCACUGCAGGAGAAGGGCCUUCCAAGUAAAAAAGGACACGAUCAGGCUUCUUUGGCAGGGAGAAUUUUCCUUCCAACUUUUCCCACCUUUCCUUUGACAGAGAAAUUCUGCAGGGAUAUAUAACUUACAUUAAGACAAUCUGUAUGUUUCAUUUAAGGAAGAAAUGCAAUAAAAUGAAGCAACAAAUCUAUUACCUUCCAAUGAACAAAUAGUCUGUUGGGGAAUUUCGAUAUUCCACUCUCAAAGUAGCUUGCACAUCAGUGGUUCCUUGAAUAUUUCCUGAUACACCAACAUAUGCAGUAACAUAAUAAGUGGAACCUGGAGAAACAAUGCUUGUGAUAUCUUGCUCCAAGCCCUGCCAACUUUCUGUUCGAUUCGAGACAACUGCAUAAUAACCACCUCGCUUUGUUAAGAAUGCUUUGUGACCUGACUCUGCUGAAACCACAGAGAAACUGCAGCCAUUUGCGUGCCAAGAAUGCUGUCCUUGAGAGAAGUCAUGGUUCGUUAUGACAUUGAUGGUAGUGUUGCCACUUGAACCAGAUAUGCCCUGGUCCAUUAUGGUCUUGAUGACAGUGUCACCUCUUGAACCAGCCAUCCCAUGGUCCGCUGUGAUAUUGAUGGUUUCGCUGCUACAGGAAGUAGCUAUGCCCUGGUCCGUUAUAUUAAAGUUUGAGCAAGUUUGAAAUAUAUAUGCAAGAACAUGUAAAGAUUCUCCCAUUGACUCAUAAUAUAAAAUAAUAAUGGAUCUACAUAAAAUUUCAUAAAUUUAUACUACAGAUCUAUGUAGACCUGAUAUAUAGAUAAGAAUUGUCUGUAAAAUUAGUUCAACUAACCUGAAUUGUUGGAUGAGGGGAGGAAGGUACUUUCUCGGCAUGCUUUAGAAAAAAACCAUUGAUAAGAAUAUCAGUGUCUGCAGGUGGACCUUCUAUAAAAAUCACUACCUUUUUAGGGUAAUUAUUUAAAAGGAACUUCCCCUUCAACUGUACCCACUCUUUAUCUGUUAUCUGCAUGCUAUAGAUCCAAAAAGACAAUCAUCUUGAAAUCAAUUCAAAAAUAUGAUAAAAGAAAAUCUAAAUAAUUUAAUUUAGUUUAUAAAAAUAAUAGAAAUGAUAUAAUUGAAUAAAACCUAAAAUCUCAUAUUCCUACGUGAUAUAGUAUAAAAAUCUAUAUAAUCUACUUCUAUAUAAAUAUUAUAAAAUUAAUUCUAAAACAUAUUUUUAUAAAACUGAUAAGUGUCUUUCUAUUAGAUUUUUUUUUCCUAGUCCAUAUCUUAUUAUUUAAUAGAUAGCUCUUUAUAUUUUUUGUUAAAGAACGUGACUUUUCAUUUUAAUAAUAAUAAUAAUAAUAAUAAUAAUAAUAAUAAUAAUAAUAAUAAUGUAUAUAUUAAAUAAAAUUUAUUAGUAUUAUUAUUAUUCCUAAUUGAUAUAUGACCUUCUAGUUUCUCAGUAUUAAACUAUUUUUUUGCCCAACUUUUGAUAUUUUUUAUAAUGAGGCGUUACUCUUAGCUGAUAACUAAUAUUUACGUAAAUAAAUUAUGCUGAUCUUAUUAAAUGUUUAGUCAUAUUUUUAUUAUUAAUUACCCAUUGACAUGAUUAUAAAAUAACUAUUUAAAUUUAAAUAUAUAUAAAUAUUAUAAUAAUAAGUCAACAUAAAAAUGAUUUAUAAUAAUAAUAUAAAGUAAGAUGACAAGUAAGAUGAAAAUUAGUUAAUAAAUUAUAAUAAUGAAUAUAAAAAGUUGUAAUCACAAUUAUAUAAAAAUGAAUGAAUACCAAGUAAAAUUAAUAUGAAAAAGUAAUUAUACUCUAUUUUAAUAAUAAAAAAGAAUAUUUAUAAAUAUAAAAUCAUUAUAACUCUCUCUUGUUAAGUUUUAAAAGUGAUAAUAAAAAUAUAUUUAAAAUAAUGAUAAAACUUUCACAAAUAUGCAUAAGGCCUAAAAGCAUCCGCCCAACAUAGGUAAGUGUAGUUCAUAAAUAAAGCCAUGUGAACAAAGGGUUGAAUUAAGAAAAUCCUGUUUGUAGAGAUUCAAGGUGAUAAAAGAAUAAUAUAUACGAAGAUUAUUAGAGGGAAAAAGAGCUAACUUGGCAAUGCCUAUGUAUUCUUCUCGGAGAUCUGUCGUUUGGACGCAUAAAGUAACUCGCACAUCAGCACUGCUGACAUUGUUGCCAAAGAUCCGAACCACAGCAAUGGCCUCAUAAGCUUGCUUUGCCUGUACUUUUCCAGUUAUCUCCUGCUCGAUUCCGUUCCAGCACUGUGUACGUUCAGUUGCACAUGCAAAUACUUUUCCAAACUGGGGAACAAUUUUCCCACAAGCCAAUGAUUCAUGUAAGACAAGCUUGCAGCCUCUUCCAGACCACUUGUUCAGGCCAUCCUCAAAUUUAGGAUUCGCCAUGAUGUUCCCUUCUCCAUAUCCAAUGUCCACAAAUUGAUAAUUACUUGUUUCCUUUUGAUAACUUGUUUCCUCUUGAUAGCUUGUUUCCUUUUGAUAGCUUGUUUCCUUUCCAUAUCAAAAUGAAAAAAUUUUUACAAAUUUAUCAUCACAAAAAAGUACAAAUAAAAUUAAUAAAUAGGUUUAAGAAGAAAAAUUACAUAGAAUUCACUUGGAGGGGAGCUGGAAAUAACGACUGAUUGUACAAGCAAGUCCACUGCAGGAGAAGGGCCUUCCAAGUAAAAAAGGACACGAUCAGGCUUCUUUGGCAGGGAGAAUUUUCCUUCCAACUUUUCCCACCUUUCCUUUGACAGAGAAAUUCUGCAGGGAUAAGUUCCAUUAAGACAAUCUGUAUGUUUCAUUUAACGAAGAAAUGCAAUAAAGUGAAGCAACAAAUCUAUUACCUUCCAAUGAACAAAUAGUCCGUUGGGGAAUUUCCAUAUUCCACUCUCAAAGUAGCUUGUACAUCAGUGGUUCCCUGAAUAUUUCCUGAUACACCAAUAUAUGCAGUAACAUAAUAAGUGGAACCUGGAGAAACAAUGCUUGAGAUAUCUUGCUCCAAGCCCUGCCAACUUUCUGUUCGAUUUGUGACAACUGCAUAAUAACCGCCCCGCUUUGUUAAGAAUGCUGGGUGACCUGACUCUGCGGAAACCACAGAGAAACUGCAGCCAUUUGCUUGCCAAGAAUGCUGUCCUUGAGAGAAGUCAUGGUUCGUUAUGACAUUGAUGGUGGUGUUGCCACUUGAACUAGAUAUGCCUUGGUCCAUUAUGGUCUUGAUAGCAGUGUCACCGUAUGAACCAACUGUGCUCUGGUCCAUUGUGAUAUUGAUGGCACCACUGCUACUUGUAGAAGACAUGCCAUGGUCCCUUCUGAUAUUGGCGAUAUCGCUGCUACUUGAACUAGCUUUGCCCUGAUCCAUUAUAUUAAAGUUUGAGCAAGUUCGAAAUAUCUAUGUAAAACCAUGUAAAAAUUCUUCAAUAAUAAUAAUAAUACAACAAAUUGAGCGGGUAAAUUUUAGCGGAGAAAACUCACUGCGUUAAAGAUGUAUUAAAAUUUAUUUAGAAAGAUUAAAAUUUCGUUAUUAAAUAUAAAGAAUCACGCUAAAAUUUUUAGUGUUAUAAUUUUUAAUUUAUAAUCAUGCAGUAGUGAAUUUGAAUUUUUAAUUUACAACGAUAUAAUAGUGAAUUUAAAUUUUAUUAUUAAAUAUUCUAGCGAUAAAUUUUAUUCUCAAUAAAAAAUUAAUUUUGUAUAACGUGAUAAUAAAGAAUAUAAUCUCUUUAUUAUUUAAACAAGACAAAAAUUUAAUAUUAAAGUUAAAUAAAAAAAUUGUUUACACUAAAUUUAUAUCGAACAAUAACGUAAAAUAAUAAUUAAAUUUACAUAAAAUUUUAUAAAUUUAUAUUAUAGAACGAUAUAGAUUUAAUGUAAAUUAAGAAUUGAUCGUAGAGUUAAUUCAACUAACCUGAAUUGUUGGAUGAGGGGAGGAAGUUACUUUCUCGGCAUGCUUUAAAAAAAAGCCAUUAACUAGAAUAUCAACAUCUGCAGGUGGACCUUCUAUGAAAAUCACCACCUUUUUAAGAUAACCAUUAAGAAGGAACCUCCCUUUGAGUUGUACCCACUCCUUAUCUGUUACUUGCCGACUACAAAUCCAAAAAAACAAUUAAAAAAUAUAGAAUUUGAUUUGAUUGAUGAAAAUAAUAGAGAUGAUAUAAAUGAAUAAAACCUAAAACCUCACAUUUCUACAUCAUAGGUAUAAAAAUCUAUAUAAUCUAUAUCUAUAUAAAUAUAAUAAAAUUCAAGUCUAAAAUAAUUUUUAUUAAAGGUGAUAAGUGUUUUUUUUUUUUUUUUUUUUUNNGGUUGGGGGAGUCGAAUCUUAGACCUUUCAAGGUUACAGGAUGCACUUUCCACCAGGCUAAGCCUUGGAGUGCGAUAAAUAUCUUUCUUUUAUUUUUUUUUUAGUCCAUUUCGCCCCAAGUGACUUUUCACUUUAACGAAAUAAAGUUAAUGAUGAUAUAUUCUUUACGGAAUAAUAAUUAAUUCCUAAAGGAAAUUUUUUUAUAAUAUUUGAUUAAUAUUGAAAAUGAGGGUAAUUAUUACUCUAUUAAUUUUUACUAUGAUAUAAUAAAAUAAUAAAUAAAAAAAUUGAAAGGUUGAAAUUUAACUUUUAAAUGUGAGAUUCACCUGUUAUGUUUCGGAAGAAAUUUUAAAAAUAUCGCAUCCAUAAUUUACGAUAAAUCGAAAUUGUAUAUAAUAAUUAGAAUGAAAUUAUUAAAUAAUUUAUAUUAACUAUUUUAAAUUAAAUAAAAAAUGAGUUCAAAAAUUAUUUAGAUCAGUUCGGAUCGAACUGUUUCGAUUAGUAUCAGAGCCACUUUAGAAAGGUCCAAUCUUGAUUUAACAAUUAUAUUCGAUUCAAUUAUGAUAUUCUCUCUCAAUAAUUUCAGAUCAGGAAUUUAAGACAAAUUGAAAUCGUAUUAAAUAGUUAGUAUGAAACUAUUAAAUAAUUUGAGUUAACCAUUUUAAAUCAAAUAAAAAAUAAAUUUAAAAAUUAUUUAAAUCAGUUUAAACCGAACUGAUUUAUAUAAUAUCAUUUCAGAUAUUGCGGUAGGAGAGUCUGUACAAUAAAUAUACACUCACUAAAUUGAUAUAUUAUCGUAGUGUAAAUUUUAAUUCAAAAAAUCGACCAUAACUAAAUGAGAUUAAUUAUUUGUAGGAAUAAAAAUUUAAAAUUCUAAUUAUAAAAUGCUAUAGGUAUUUGGGCGUACAAAUUUUAUUUAAUAAUUUUUAAUUAAAUUAAUUUUAUUAAAUAAACUCAUUUAACAUGAAUUGAUCAAUUAAAAAAAAUUACAUGUCACUUAACUAAAAGAAACAAAUUAACUAAUAAAAUAGGCAAUGGAGAUUCUCCUUUCAAAUCUCCUAUAAAUAGAGAGGCUCUGCCCCACAGAAAAACUAGGAAGAUCAAGUUUAAACUAUAAAAGCAAAGGUCUUCUUUAUCGAUUUAAGAACAAAAUUAGAACAAAAAUUUCAAAUUCUUGAAUAGCAUAAAUUAAAUGAUUGAAUUUUUUUAUUUUAAAAAAUUUAUUAUUGGAGUCCGAACUCAUUUUUUUUUAUUUAAUUGAUAUUUUUUAAUUUCAGUUAUGAAAUUUAUGCGUAUACUAUUACCUCCUUUGACUCUAUAGCAGAUGUAGUAGUGGAACUUUAGAUUUUCUAUCUUAUAUUAUUCCAACUAAGUCCUAAAAGCAUCCACCCAACAUAGAUAAGUGUAGUUCAUAAAUAAAGUCAUGUGAACAAAGGGCUGAAUUAAGAAAAUGCUGUUUGCAGUGAUUCAAGGUGAUGAAAGAAUAAUAUAUACGGAGAUUAUUAGAGGGAAAAAGAGCUAACUUGGCAAUGCCUAUGUAUUCUUCUCGGAGAUCUGUCGUUUGGACGCAUAAAGUAACUCGCACAUCAGCACUGCUGACAUUGUUGCCAAAGAUCCGAACGACAGCAAUGGCCUCAUAAGCUAGCUUUGCCUGUACUUUUCCAGUUAUCUCCUGCUCGAUUCCGUUCCAGCACUGUGUACGUUCAGUUGCACAUGCAAAUACUUUUCCAAACUGGGGAACAAUUUUCCCACAAGCCAAUGAUUCAUGUAAGACAAGCUUGCAGCCUCUUCCAGACCACUUGUUCAGGCCAUCCUCAAAUUUAGGAUUUGCCAUGAUGUUCCCUUCUCCAUAUCCAAUGUCCACAAAUUGAUAAUUACUUGUUUCCUUUUGAUAACUUGUUUCCUCUUGAUAGCUUGUUUCCAUUUGAUAGCUGGUUUCCUUUUGAUAGCUUGUUUCCUUUUGAUAGCUUGUUUCCUUUCCAUAUCAAAAUGAAAAUUUUUUUACAAAUUUAUCAUCACAAAAAAGUACAAAUAAAAUUAAUAAAUAGGUUUAAGAAGAAAAAUUACAUAGAAUUCACUUGGAGGGGAGCUGGUAAUAACAACUGAUUGUAUAAGCAAGUCCACUGCAGGAGAAGGACCUUCCAAGUAAAACACGACACGAUCAGGGUUCGUUGGGAGGGAGAAUUUUCCUUCCAACUUUUCCCACUUUUCCUUUGACAGAGAAAUUCUGCAGGGAUAAGUUCCAUUAAGACAAUCUGUAUGUUUCAUUUAAGGAAGAAAUGCAAUAAAGUGAAGCAACAAAUCUAUUACCUUCCAAUGAACAAAUAGUCCGUUGGGGAAUUUCGAUAUUCCACUCUCAAAGUAGCUUGUACAUCAGUGGUUCCCUGAAUAUUUCCUGAUACACCAACAUAUGCAGUAACAUAAUAAGUGGAACCUGGAGAAACAAUGCUUGUGAUAUCUUGCUCCAAGCCCUGCCAACUUUCUGUUCGAUUUGUGACAACUGCAUAAUGACCACCCCGCUUUGUUAAGAAUGCUGGGUGACCUGACUCUGCGGAAACCACAGAGAAAAUACAGCCAUUUGCGUGCCAAGAAUGCAGUCCUUGAGAGAAGUCAUGGUUCGAUAUGACAUUGAUGGUGGUGUUGCCACUUGAACCAGACAUGCCUUGGUCCAUUAUGGUCUUGAUUGCAGUGUCACCAUAUGAACCACCUGUGCUCUGAUCCAUUGUGAUAUGGAUGGCACCGCUGCUAC